rnacentral:rRNA from 1 species
CCUACGGGUGACUGCAGUGGGGAAUAUUGCACAAUGGGGGGAACCCUGAUGCAGCGACGCCGCGUGAGUGAAGAAGGAUUUCGGGAUGGAAAGCUCUAUCAGCAGGGAAGAAAAUUACGGUACCUGACUAAGAAUCCACGGCCAACUACGUGCCAGCAGCCGCGGUAAUACGUAGGGGGCAAGCGUUAUCCGGAGUUACUGGGUGUAAAGGGAGCGUAGACGGCUGUGCAAGUCUGGCGUGAAAGGCGGGGGCCCAACCCCCGGACUGCUCUUGAAACUGUAAAGCUGGAGUGCAGGAGAGGUAAGCGGAAUUCCUAGUGUAGCGGUGAAAUGCGUAGAUAUUAGGCGGAACACCAGUGGCGAAGGCGGCUUACUGGACUGCAACUGACGUUGAGGCUCGAAAGCGUGGGGAGCAAACAGGAUUAGAUACCCUAGUAGUC